rnacentral:rRNA from 1 species
UACAGAGGUCUCAAGCGUUGUUCGGAUUCAUUGGGCGUAAAGGGUGCGUAGGCGGCGCGGUAAGUCGGGUGUGAAAUCUCGGGGCUUAACUCCGAAACUGCACUCGAUACUGCUUUGCUUGAGGACUGGAGAGGAGAUUGGAAUUCACGGUGUAGCAGUGAAAUGCGUAGAUAUCGUGAGGAACACCAGUGGCGAAGGCGGCUCACUGGCCCGGUACUGACGCUGAGGUGCGAAAGCGUGGGGAGCAAACAGG